rnacentral:rRNA from 1 species
GACGAACGCUGGCGGCGUGCUUAACACAUGCAAGUCGAACGGAAAGGCCCUGCUUUUGUGGGGUGCUCGAGUGGCGAACGGGUGAGUAACACGUGAGUAACCUGCCCUUGACUUUGGGAUAACUUCAGGAAACUGGGGCUAAUACCGGAUAGGAGCUCCUGCUGCAUGGUGGGGGUUGGAAAGUUUCGGCGGUUGGGGAUGGACUCGCGGCUUAUCAGCUUGUUGGUGGGGUAGUGGCUUACCAAGGCUUUGACGGGUAGCCGGCCUGAGAGGGUGACCGGCCACAUUGGGACUGAGAUACGGCCCAGACUCCUACGGGAGGCAGCAGUGGGGAAUAUUGCACAAUGGGCGGAAGCCUGAUGCAGCAACGCCGCGUGCGGGAUGACGGCCUUCGGGUUGUAAACCGCUUUCGCCUGUGACGAAGAGUGAGUGACGGUAAUGGGUAAAGAAGCACCGGCUAACUACGUG